rnacentral:rRNA from 1 species
CGGUUAAGUUAGAAAGGGCGCACGGUGGAUGCCUUGGCACUAGGAGCCGAUGAAGGACGGGACGAACACCGAUAUGCUUCGGGGAGCUGUAAGCAAGCUUUGAUCCGGAGAUUUCCGAAUGGGGAAACCCACCACUCGUAAUGGAGUGGUAUCCAUAUCUGAAUACAUAGGAUAUGAGAAGGCAGACCCGGGGAACUGAAACAUCUAAGUACCCGGAGGAAGAGAAAGCAAAUGCGAUUCCCUGAGUAGCGGCGAGCGAAACGGGACCAGCCCAAACCAAGAGGCUUGCCUCUUGGGGUUGUAGGACACUCUGUACGGAGUUACAAAGGAACGAGGUAGAUGAAGAGGUCUGGAAAGGCCCGCCAUAGGAGGUAACAGCCCUGUAGUCAAAACUUCGUUCUCUCCUGAGUGGAUCCUGAGUACGGCGGAACACGUGAAAUUCCGUCGGAAUCCGGGAGGACCAUCUCCCAAGGCUAAAUACUCCCUAGUGACCGAUAGUGAACCAGUACCGUGAGGGAAAGGUGAAAAGCACCCCGGAAGGGGAGUGAAAGAGAUCCUGAAACCGUGUGCCUACAAGUAGUCAGAGCCCGUUAAUGGGUGAUGGCGUGCCUUUUGUAGAAUGAACCGGCGAGUUACGAUCCCGUGCAAGGUUAAGCAGAAGAUGCGGAGCCGCAGCGAAAGCGAGUCUGAAUAGGGCGAAUUGAGUACGUGGUCGUAGACCCGAAACCAGGUGAUCUACCCAUGUCCAGGGUGAAGUUCAGGUAACACUGAAUGGAGGCCCGAACCCACGCACGUUGAAAAGUGCGGGGAUGAGGUGUGGGUAGGGGUGAAAUGCCAAUCGAACCUGGAGAUAGCUGGUUCUCUCCGAAAUAGCUUUAGGGCUAGCCUCAAGGUAAGAGUCUCGGAGGUAGAGCACUGAUUGGACUAGGGGCCCCUACCGGGUUACCGAAUUCAGUCAAACUCCGAAUGCCGAUGACUUAUCCUUGGGAGUCAGACUGCGAGUGAUAAGAUCCGUAGUCGAAAGGGAAACAGCCCAGACCGCCAGCUAAGGUCCCAAAGUAUACGUUAAGUGGAAAAGGAUGUGGAGUUGCUUAGACAACCAGGAUGUUGGCUUAGAAGCAGCCACCAUUUAAAGAGUGCGUAAUAGCUCACUGGUCGAGUGACUCUGCGCCGAAAAUGUACCGGGGCUAAACGUAUCACCGAAGCUGCGGACUGUUCUUCGAACAGUGGUAGGAGAGCGUUCUAAGGGCUGUGAAGCAAGACCGAAAGGACUUGUGGAGCGCUUAGAAGUGAGAAUGCCGGUAUGAGUAGCGAAAGAGGGGUGAGAAUCCCCUCCACCGAAUGCCUAAGGUUUCCUGAGGAAGGCUCGUCCGCUCAGGGUUAGUCGGGACCUAAGCCGAGGCCGAAAGGCGUAGGCGAUGGAUAACAGGUUGAUAUUCCUGUACCACCUCCUCACCAUUUGAGCAAUGGGGGGACGCAGGAGGAUAGGGUAAGCGCGGUAUUGGAUAUCCGCGUCCAAGCAGUUAGGCUGGGAAAUAGGCAAAUCCGUUUCCCGUGAAGGCUGAGCUGUGAUGGCGAGCGAAUUAUAGUAGCGAAGUUCCUGAUUCCACACUGCCAAGAAAAGCCUCUAGCGAGGUGAGAGGUGCCCGUACCGCAAACCGACACAGGUAGGCGAGGAGAGAAUCCUAAGGUGAUCGAGAGAACUCUCGUUAAGGAACUCGGCAAAAUGACCCCGUAACUUCGGGAGAAGGGGUGCUCUGUUAGGGUGCAAGCCCGAGAGAGCCGCAGUGAAUAGGCCCAGGCGACUGUUUAGCAAAAACACAGGUCUCUGCGAAGCCGUAAGGCGAAGUAUAGGGGCUGACGCCUGCCCGGUGCUGGAAGGUUAAGAGGAGCGCUUAGCGUAAGCGAAGGUGCGAAUUGAAGCCCCAGUAAACGGCGGCCGUAACUAUAACGGUCCUAAGGUAGCGAAAUUCCUUGUCGGGUAAGUUCCGACCCGCACGAAAGGCGCAACGAUCUGGGCACUGUCUCAACGAGAGACUCGGUGAAAUUAUAGUACCUGUGAAGAUGCAGGUUACCCGCGACAGGACGGAAAGACCCCGUGGAGCUUUACUGCAGCCUGAUAUUGAAUGUUGGUACAGCUUGUACAGGAUAGGUAGGAGCCUUGGAAACCGGAGCGCCAGCUUCGGUGGAGGCAUCGGUGGGAUACUACCCUGGCUGUAUUGACCUUCUAACCCGCCGCCCUUAUCGGGCGGGGAGACAGUGUCAGGUGGGCAGUUUGACUGGGGCGGUCGCCUCCUAAAAGGUAACGGAGGCGCCCAAAGGUUCCCUCAGAAUGGUUGGAAAUCAUUCGCAGAGUGUAAAGGCACAAGGGAGCUUGACUGCGAGACCUACAAGUCGAGCAGGGACGAAAGUCGGGCUUAGUGAUCCGGUGGUUCCGCAUGGAAGGGCCAUCGCUCAACGGAUAAAAGCUACCCCGGGGAUAACAGGCUUAUCUCCCCCAAGAGUCCACAUCGACGGGGAGGUUUGGCACCUCGAUGUCGGCUCAUCGCAUCCUGGGGCUGUAGUCGGUCCCAAGGGUUGGGCUGUUCGCCCAUUAAAGCGGUACGCGAGCUGGGUUCAGAACGUCGUGAGACAGUUCGGUCCCUAUCCGUCGCGGGCGCAGGAAAUUUGAGAGGAGCUGUCCUUAGUACGAGAGGACCGGGAUGGACGCACCGCUGGUGUACCAGUUGUUCUGCCAAGGGCAUCGCUGGGUAGCUAUGUGCGGACGGGAUAAGUGCUGAAAGCAUCUAAGCAUGAAGCCCCCCUCAAGAUGAGAUUUCCCAUUCCGCAAGGAAGUAAGAUCCCUGAAAGAUGAUCAGGUUGAUAGGUCUGAGGUGGAAGUGUGGCGACACAUGGAGCUGACAGAUACUAAUCGAUCGAGGACUUAACCAAUUU